rnacentral:rRNA from 1 species
UGAAUACGAGACGCUAAGGCGUCGAAGUAGUGUAUGUCAUACUUCCAAGAAAAGCUUGCACUGUCAUAAGUAAAAAAUGCCUGUACCAUAACCGACACAGGUGGGUAGGUAGAGUAUACUAAGGGGCGCGAGAUAACUCUCUCUAAGGAACUCGGCAAAAUAACUCCGUAACUUCGGGAGAAGGAGUACCUUAUUCUAUAAGGUUGCAAUAACAAGAUCCAAGCAACUGUUUAUCAAAAACACAGGUCUCCGCUAAGUCGUAAGACGAUGUAUGGGGGCUGACGCCUGCCCAGUGCCAGAAGGUUAAAGAAGUCGGUUAGCAUUAGCGAAGCUGGUAACUGAAGCCCUGGUGAACGGCGGCCGUAACAAUAACGGUCCUAAGGUAGCGAAAUUCCUUGUCGGGUAAGUUCCGACCCGCACGAAAGGCGUAAUGAUUUGGAUACUGUCUCGGAGAGGGGCUCGGUGAAAUAGACUUGUCUGUGAAGAUGCGGACUACCUGCACCAGGACAGAAAGACCCUAUGAAGCUUUACCGUAACUUGAAAUUGAAAUUGGACUUUAUUCGCGCAGUAUAGGUGGGAGGUGUUGAUUAUAAUCUUGCGGGAUUAUUGGAGCCAUCAGUGAGAUACCACUCUUGUAAUGUUAGAUUUCUAACUUUGAAUCAUUAUCUGGUCAAAGGACAGUUUCUGGCGGGCAGUUUGACUGGGGCGGUCGCCUUCCAAACGGUAACGGAGGCGUACAAAGGUUUCCUCUGAACGGGUAGAAAUCGUAUCUAGAGUGUAAAGGCAUAAGGAAGCUUGACUGUGAGACCUACAAGUCGAACAGGGACGAAAGUCGGUCUUAGUGAUCUGACGGUACUGAGUGGAAAGGCCGUCACUCAACGGAUAAAGUUACUCUAGGGAUAACAGGCUGAUCUCCCCCAAGAGUUCACAUCGACGGGGAGGUUUGGCACCUCGAUGUCGGCUCAUCGCAUCCUGGGGCGGUAGUACGUCCCAAGGGUUGGGCUGUUCGCCCAUGAAAGCGGUACGCGAGCUGGGUUCAGAACGUCGUGAGACAGUUCGGUCCAUAUCCGGUGUAGGCGUUAGAAUAUUGAGAGGAGCCUUCUUUAGUACGAGAGGACCGAGAAGGACAUACCUCUGGUGUACCAGUUAUCGUGCCAACGGUAAACGCUGGGUAGCUAUGUAUGGAGUGGAUAACCGCUGAAAGCAUCUAAGUGGGAAGCCCACCUCAAGAUAAGUAUUCUC